UUCUCGUGCCGUCUGUUCGUGUCAACUUUUCCAAUUAAGCUUUUCCGAUCCAGUGUGGUCUGUAGAGUUCCGUAGAUUCAGAGCUAUCUCCCAUUCUCUCUCUUAGUCAUACUCAGAUCAUAAGAUUUCAAGGCAUGAGCUGAUAAAGAAAGUGAGGCAGAUAACGGGGGACAAGUUGUUGAUACAUGUAAUCAAAUCAUUCAGGACAUAGGUCAGGUUUUAGACAAUGACACACUUGUCGUGUCGCGUCGAUCUCUGAAUGAAUAACCUAUGAACAAAGCAAGAGCUAAGUGAUGGUUGACAAGUGGAGAAACUGUAUCUAACACAAAAGAGACUUCAUAACAACAUUAAUAACAAGUACAAGGUGGAAUGGUUCGAGAAGAACAUUUUGAGGAGGGAUUGUGCCUGAGAUUGAUACAAAGAAGGGAAAGGACUACCCUGUUGGCCCUAUUCUUCUUGGAUUCUUCAUUUUUGUCGUCAUUGGAUCAUGAAGUCAUGCUUUCGAUUUGGAUCAAAUUUGUGGUAGAUGGUGGAGAGAACAUAUCGAAUGAGUACUUGAAAGACUAUUUGGAAAACACUAUAUAAUGGCAACAAGUUCUCUCUUUUUUUUAUACACCAAUAAAAGUUGUUUGGAUCUAAAAAAUGUUAAUUUUGCCAUGUAACCCUUAUGAGUUUUGGUAAUUUGUUGAUUACCUUGGUUUUAGAGUUAAAUUAUCAUCCAAUUCCUCUUUUGUGACUUAUUAUUAUGGAUUUGUGAAAGCAAUUAAGAAUUUAUUUUGUACA